rnacentral:rRNA from 1 species
UACGUAGGGUGCGAGCGUUGUCCGGAAUUAUUGGGCGUAAAGGGCUCGUAGGCGGUUUGUCGCGUCGGGAGUGAAAUCCUACGGCUUAACUGUGGGCUUGCUUUCGAUACGGGCAGACUAGAGUGAUGUAGGGGAGACUGGAAUUCCUGGUGUAGCGGUGAAAUGCGCAGAUAUCAGGAGGAACACCGAUGGCGAAGGCAGGUCUCUGGGCAUUAACUGACGCUGAGGAGCGAAAGCAUGGGGAGCGAACAGG